rnacentral:rRNA from 1 species
AAUAUGGGGGGACCAUCCUCCAAGGCUAAAUACUCCUGACUGACCGAUAGUGAACCAGUACCGUGAGGGAAAGGCGAAAAGAACCCCGGCGAGGGGAGUGAAAAAGAACCUGAAACCGUGUACGUACAAGCAGUGGGAGCCUCUUUAUGGGGUGACUGCGUACCUUUUGUAUAAUGGGUCAGCGACUUAUAUUCUGUAGCAAGGUUAACCGAAUAGGGGAGCCGAAGGGAAACCGAGUCUUAACUGGGCGUUAAGUUGCAGGGUAUAGACCCGAAACCCGGUGAUCUAGCCAUGGGCAGGUUGAAGGUUGGGUAACACUAACUGGAGGACCGAACCGACUAAUGUUGAAAAAUUAGCGGAUGACUUGUGGCUGGGGGUGAAAGGCCAAUCAAACCGGGAGAUAGCUGGUUCUCCCCGAAAGCUAUUUAGGUAGCGCCUCGUGAAUUCAUCUCCGGGGGUAGAGCACUGUUUCGGCAAGGGGGUCAUCCCGACUUACCAACCCGAUGCAAACUGCGAAUACCGGAGAAUGUUAUCACGGGAGACACACGGCGGGUGCUAACGUCCGUCGUGAAGAGGGAAACAACCCAGACCGCCAGCUAAGGUCCCAAAGUCAUGGUUAAGUGGGAAACGAUGUGGGAAGGCCCAGACAGCCAGGAUGUUGGCUUAGAAGCAGCCAUCAUUUAAAGAAAGCGUAAUAGCUCACUGGUCGAGUCGGCCUGCGCGGAAGAUGUAACGGGGCUAAACCAUGCACCGAAGCUGCGGCAGCGACGCUUAUGCGUUGUUGGGUA